GGCCCUGUAGUUCAAUGGAUAGAACGAAAGUUUCCUAAACUUUAAAUCUAGGUUCGAUUCCUAGCGGGGCUA
rnacentral:tRNA from 1 species